UCGGGUCACCAGCGACAGUCUGGAGCCUGUACGAUAUGAUGACGUGAUCACCAGUGAGAAAAACCGAAGGAUAGCUAAAUUCUCCAUAGGGGGCGGGCAGAUGAUGAUUCACAACAUGGAGAGGAUCGUGUUCCGGGGCUCCCCCUACAGGAUCCAAAGGAGCUGAUCCUUCAGGCAGCGACAUGCGGAUCGGACCGGGCUCUACGAAGCUUCCCUCCACCGAAGAUUCGAUGUUCUGAUAGAACUCCCAGAGCGCACCCUUGGUACGACUGACCGCUGAGCUCAGCCGCACACCGGUGAGCCCCUUGAGCAUUUCGUCGCGGCUGAUUUGCGUCCACACCACCAGCAGGUCGCCUGUC
rnacentral:misc_RNA from 1 species